GCCAGCGUGGUUUAGCGGUUUGAGCAUUGGGCUAGGAUGCUAGGGACCAGGGUUCGAAUCCCAGCUGGGCU